UGGCUCAGUGGUAGAGCAUGGUGUGUGCAAUGCCAGGGUUGUGGGUUUGAUUCCCAC
rnacentral:tRNA from 1 species